GCCUGUGAAUAAUGGGUGGGAAUGAGAGUACCUGAAGAAUAAGCACCGGCUAACUACGUGCCAGCAGCCGCGGUAAUACGUAGGGUGCAAGCGUUAAUCGGAAUUACUGGGCGUAAAGCGUGCGCAGGCGGUUUUGCAAGUCUGAUGUGAAAGCCCCGGGCUUAACCUGGGAACGGCAUUGGAGACUGCAAGGCUAGAGUACGUCAGAGGGGGGUAGAAUUCCACGUGUAGCAGUGAAAUGCGUAGAGAUGUGGAGGAAUACCGAUGGCGAAGGCAGCCCCCUGGGAUGAUACUGACGCUCAUGCACGAAAGCGUGGGGAGCAAACAGGAUUAGAUACCCUGGUAGUCCACGCCCUAAACGAUGUCAAUUAGCUGUUGGGGGUUUGAAUCCUUGGUAGCGAAGCUAACGCGUGAAAUUGACCGCCUGGGGGAGUACGGCCGCAAGGUUA
rnacentral:rRNA from 1 species